GCGUUUGUGGUUUAGUGGUAAAAUCCAUCGUUGCCAUACAGACAACAUCGAUGGGCCCCGGGUUCGAUUCCCGGCGAACGCA